UUGACCCCCCUUUUCUUCCCUCCAAACAAAUCCAGGAGAACAAAGGAACACUGCUAUUCCUGUGUUUAACCCUCUGCCUAAGAGAGGAAAGUAAGAGUGGAUGCAUUACUGAUACAAAAUCAUCCACCAUUACCCCUCAUCACCUGUUUACAAAUAAAAUAUUGGAACUUGGAAGGCUGCCUGGAUCCUGUGUCUAAAUGUGCACCCAACGUAUGAUGUUCAGCGAAUCACCGCCAAUAUAGUCUACAGUUUUUUCAGUUAGUGAACUGCUACUCCUCUUAA